AUCAACGCUGGCGGCGCGCUUAACACAUGCAAGUCGAGCGAGAAAGGGGAGCAAUCCCUGAGUACAGCGGCGUACGGGUGAGUAACACGUGGAUGAUCUACCUGAGAGUGGGGAAUAACUUUGGGAAACCGGAGCUAAUACCGCAUAAGCCUGAGAAGGGAAAGCUUCGUAAGAGGCGCUCUGAGAGGAGUCCGCGGCCGAUUAGCUAGUUGGUGAGGUAACGGCNCACCAAGGCGGGGAUCGGUAGCCGGCCUGAGAGGCACACGGCCACACUGGCACUAGAAACACGGGCCAGACUCCGUACGGGAGGCAGCAGGUGGGGAAUCUUG
rnacentral:rRNA from 1 species